rnacentral:rRNA from 1 species
AGUGAACGCUGGCGGCGUGCCUAAUACAUGCAAGUCGAACGGAGUGGCGCACGGGUGUGUAAUAUAUAGCUAAUCUGCCCCUUGCUGGAGGACAACCGUUAGAAAUGACUGCUAAUACUCCAUAUCCAGGGAUGAGACUCUAUCGUUUCAGCUAGUCGGUGGGGUAACGGCCUACCGAGGCUAUGCCGCGUCACUGGGCUGAGAGGAUGAUCAGGCAAAUUGGAACUGAGAAACGGGCCAAACUCCUACGGGAGGCAGCAGUAGGGAAUAUUGCGCAAUGGGGGAAACCCUGACGCAGCAAAGCCGCGGGGAGGAUGACACGUUUCGGAGCGUAAACGCCUUUUGUUAAGGGUGUGAGAGUGGAAAGUUCACACAGUGACGGUACUUAACCAGAAAGGGACGGCUAACUACGUGCCAGCAGCCGCGGUAAUUC